GAUGAACGCUGGCGGCGUGCCUAAUACAUGCAAGUCGAGCGAACGGACGAGAAGCUUGCUUCUCUGAUGUUAGCGGCGGACGGGUGAGUAACACGUGGAUAACCUACCUAUAAGACUGGGAUAACUUCGGGAAACCGUAGCUAAUACCGGAUAAUAUUUUGAACCGCAUGGUUCAAAAGUGAAAGACGGUCUUGCUGUCACUUAUAGAUGGAUCCGCGCUGCAUUAGCUAGUUGGUAAGGUAACGGCUUACCAAGGCAACGAUGCAUAGCCGACCUGAGAGAGUGAUCGGCCACACUGGAACUGAGACACGGUCCAGACUCCUACGGGAGGCAGCAGUAGGGAAUCUUCCGCAAUGGGCGAAAGCCUGACGGAGCAACGCCGCGUGAGUGAUGAAGGUCUUCGGAUCGUAAAACUCUGUUAUUAGGGAAGAACAUAUGUGUAAGUAACUGUGCACAUCUUGACGGUACCUAAUCAGAAAGCCACGGCCAACUACGUG
rnacentral:rRNA from 1 species